AGGAAAUCACGGUGGUCACUGUCCAUGUUGCAGCUGGGAACAGUCGGAAAGGAAAUCACGGAGGUCACUGUCCAUGUUGCAUCUGUGAACAGUCGGAAAGGAAAUCACGGUGGUCACUGUCCAUGUUGCAGCUGUGAACAGUCGGAAAGAAAAUCACGGUGGUCACUGUCCAUGUUGCAUCUGUGAACAGUCGGAAAGCUGUGAACAGUCGGAAAGGAAAUCACGGUGGUCCCUGUCCAUGUUGCACCUGUGAACAGUCGGAAAGGAAAUCACGGUUGUCACUGUCCAUGUUGCAGCUGUGAACAGUCGGAAAGUGACUUGGGCACGAGGAGGUGAGCUGCUGCCGAGGUUUCGGUACUGCUAGCCGCCGGCAGGUGUGAACAGUCAGAAAGGAAAUCACGGUGGUCACUGUCCAUGUUGCAGGUGUGAACAGUCAGUCGGAAAGGAAAUCACGGUGGUCACUGCCCAUGUUGCAGCUGUGAACAGUCGGAAAGUGGAGAAAUAGUGAAUUUUUGACCAUUUGUGCACAUUUUGUUCUUUUCAAUGUACGUUUGGGUAAAUGGGCCCAGCUGCAAUGUGGGUGCUGGAAUUGUUAGUUUUUUGGUUUACUAGUAGGCCGCUUGCACUCGUAGGCAGUGCCCCAGGAAAUUUGACCCUGCUGUAGCUGGCUUGAGUGCCAAUUCAGGAUUCACGGGCGAAAAGCCCAAAACGUUAAGAUAGGUUAUUUUCAGGGUUCAGCAGCCCUGGGCAAUUCGUUUAUGACAAAGUGUGUCAAUUCUGUUGUGCACUACCCUUUGUGUGCCUAUUGCAGGAAAUCACGGUGGUCACUGUCCAUGUUGCAGCUGUGAACAGUCGGAAAGGGGAGAAAUAGUGAAUUUUGACAAUUUGUGUUCUUUUCAAUGUACCCAUGGGUAAAUGGGCCCAGCUGUAAUGUGGGUUCUGGAAUUGCCUAGAUUUUUAGUUUGCUAGUAGGCCGCUUGCACUCGUAGGCAGUGCCCCAGGAAAUUUGACCUCGCUGUAGCUGGCUUGAGUUUCAAUUCAGGAUUCACGGGCGAAAAGCCCCAAACUUUGACAUAGGUUAUUUUCAGGGUUCAGCAGCCCUGGGCAAGUCGUUUAUGACAAUGUGUGUCAAUUCUGUUGUGCACUACCCUUUGUGUGGCUAUUGCAGGAAAUCACGGUGGUCACUGUCCAUGUUGCAGCUGUGAACAGUCGGAAAGGGGAGAAAUAGUGAAUUUUUGACCAUUUGUGCACAUGUGUUCUUUUCAAUGUACGUUUGGGUAAAUGGGCCCAGCUGCAAUGUUGGUGCUGGAAUUGCUUAGAUGUUUGGUUUGCUAGUAGGCCGCUUGCACUUGUAGGCAAUGCCCAAGGAAAUUUGACCCUGCUUUAGCUGGCUUGAGUUCCAAUUCAGGAUUCACGGGCGAAAAGCCCCAAACUUUGACAUAGGUCAUUUUCAGGGUUCAGCAGCCCUGGGCAAGUCGUUUAUGACAAUGUGUGUCAAUUCUGUUGUGCACUACCCUUUGUGUGCCUAUUGCAGGAAAUCACGGUGGUCACUGUCCAUGUUGCAGCUGUGAACAAAUGGGCCCAGCUGCAAUGUUGGUGCUGGAAUUGCUUAGAUUUUUGGUUUGCUAGUAGGCCGCUUGCUCUCGUAGGCAGCGCCCCAGGAAAUUUGACCCUGCUGUAGCUGGCUUGAGUUCCAAUUCAGGAUUCACGGGCGAAAAGCCCAUAACUUUAACCAAAGUCUUUUUCUGGGUUCAGCAGCCCUGGGCAAGUCGUUCAUGACAAUGUGUAUCAAUUCUGUUGUGCACUACCCUUUGUGUGGCUAUUGCAGGAAAUCACGGUGGUCACUGUCCAUGUUGCAGCUGUGAACAGUCGGAGAGGAAAUCACGGUGGUCACUGUCCAUGUUGCAGCUGUGAACAGUCGGAAAGGAAAUCACGGUGGUCACUGUCCAUGUUGCAGGUGUGAACAGUCGGAAAGAUUCGGAAUAUUUCACAAGCAUCUCGAAGUGCUAGAGUAUUACUCAGUCAACGGAUCAUUGGAGGACGGGGAUUUCUUUUGAAAGAUCCGGAAUAUUUCGCAAGCAUCUCGAAGUACUGCAAUGUGAUCUAGUCCACAGAUCACUGGUGGAUGGGAAUAACUUUUGAAAGAUCUGGAAUAUUUCACAAUCGUCUCGUACAGUAUGACUAAUUCAAUGGAUCACUGGAAGACAGGUAUUUCUUUUGAAAGAUCUGGAAUAUUGCACAAGCGUCUCGUACAGUAUGACUAAGUCAAUGGAUCACUGGAGUACAGGGAUUUCUUUUGAAAGCGUGAGAUUCCUCUUCAGAACAACCUUGUCUUCCGCAGUCCAUUUCCUCUACUCACAACACCAGUUCAAGUAUGUCAAGUAGUCAAGAACACCACUAGAAGCUGGAGCAGAAAGUUGCCGUGAGUUGUGCUGUAUCCGUAUUGCAAACACUCUGUCUGGAACAUUACGGUAUAAAAAUGGUUGUAGAAUAAUCAAGUAGAGUGGAGUGCUGAGGAAGCUGACCAUUGUUGAUUUUGAAAGCUGGCUUUGCUCCUUGUAAUUGUUGAGCUAUUCUAUGAAAAACAUCGAUUUAAUGCUUCGAAGUGUUUGUUUCCUAUUUUGCAAUUUUGCUCCGAGUUUUCGGUCAGGUCAAUCAUCAGACAACUUAACGCGUGGCAACUUUGCUUUGUAGUGUUUUCAUGAGAUGAAAAUACGGCUGCAGGUAUAGAGCUUUCGUCUACAUGUAGUUACUGACAAAGAUCAAUCUUAGCUAGAUUCAUAAGGUUUAGCUAGAUACUAGAAUUUCUGCCCUCUCAUGAUUUAAUCCGCGGCGCAUUUUGCUAAUACUUGCAGUGCUUGUUUCUGUAUACCUUACUACAAGUACACCUCGCUCAAACUCAGUGCUGCUGCUGCUCUGCUAUGUAUUUGUAAACGUUUCACAUGCGUUUCAGUUUGUGGGCAAUACUAUUGUAUCACUAGACUUUGGUAUAUGCAUUGAUUUUGUUCAUGACUGACUCCAUAACAACGUUAGUAUGGACUAUAUUCAGAUACAUGUACAUGUACACUUUGAUUGCCUCUCUCUGACCCAA